rnacentral:rRNA from 1 species
UACGGGGGGGGCAAGCGUUGUUCGGAAUUACUGGGCGUAAAGGGUUCGUAGGUGGCUCGCUAAGUCAGACGUGAAAUCCCUCAGCUUAACUGGGGAACUGCGUCUGAGACUGGCGAGCUUGAGUGCAGGAGAGGAACGCGGAAUUCCAGGUGUAGCGGUGAAAUGCGUAGAUAUCUGGAGGAACACCGGUGGCGAAGGCGGCAUCCUGGACCAACACUGACGCUGAGGAGCGAAAGCCAGGGGAGCAAACGGG